GUGCUGUCAACCACAGGCCACCUUGGGUUCGGCGGCGCACGUGGGCUUCAGGCGCCGUGACCCCGCCAGGCGGCACUUCUCUGCGACGGCUGCCGGGGCUGGCACUCUGGAACGCAGAGCCGCCCCAGGCACAUCUCCUACCUCGCGCUCUCAGGAAGAGGCGCCGGCGGCGGCUGCAGGGCCGAGGGUGUGGCCGCGCUGUCGCGGCCGCGCCGUGUCAGAGCCGGGUGGGAGCCUGCACUGAUUGCGCACAGCGGCCGUCCCACUCGUGCUCUCGCCCGCCACGCCCGGGUGCGCGGGGCUCCGCGGCUGCCCUUCCCGCCCGGCGGCUCAAAGCGCGCGGCCCGAAGCCGCGGCGGCACGCCCUCCCGGACCGCGCGCCCGGCGGCCCGCUGCUGGCUGUCGGCGCGAAUCCAUCUCCGGCGCGCCCUCGUCCUGGGCCCGCAGCGGCUGAGCUCUCCCGAGGCCCCGGGCCCCGCGCAUCGGAUGCAGCUGCACGCGUCUACACGGCUGAUGAGCCGACUCAGAAGGUCCCCUUAGCGCCAUGACCAGCAGCCCGGGCCCCGGCUCCUGCCAUUUCCGUCAACCACCAACUUCCGAGCGAGCAGGGAGAAACUGAAAGGAAGGGCGGGGGCCGAAAGGCGAGGGGAAAACACCCGCUUCCUCUCUGCACGCAGCUUAGCCUUGGAGCACGGCCGUGGGUGCUCGCCCGCCGGGGCCGCCGGAGGCUUCCCCUCUGCCCAGCCGCGCCUCGCCCCCGGCUCGCCGCCGCCGCACCUCGCCGUAACCUCCCCGGAGCCUAUAGAAAUCUUUUGUGUGGCGUCACCGCCUUUCGUUUAAAUCCCGCUUCCUCCUCUCGCCUUUUCUCCCGCCCCCUCCGCCGCUCCCGGAUGCUUGCGCUGUGCGCUGCUCCUCCCCCGGGAAGCUGGGUGGCUGCGGGGGACGCCGCCGCCCAGCACUCAGCUGCCUGCCUGAAGCUGGUGGUCCUGGGCCGCCCCUGCGUUCCGGCRGAAAGAUUGGGUAGCAGACGGGCUGGGGAAAGGCAGCCCGGCCAGGGGCCCUGCACAUACCCUCUGGAGAUCGCGGUGUAGCAGCCGGUUGGCCUUACGAAGUGGUUGGAACACCUGGCCUUACUCCCAGAGAAUGGCCCAUCAGUUCAGUAGUCCUGAAUCCGGCCUUCUGGGUACUCUCCCAGCACACACUGGUGCAAUCUGUUUUUCUUAUCAUCACUGGAUGCUUCAUACUCAACAAUGAACUGUGCUACAUGAGGACUGUACCACUAUUCCACAAGGUUAUUUUCUGCCAUCAUUCAUUCACUCCACAAACAAUGAACACCUGCUACAUGCUGGGCUCUGUACCAGGCAUCAAAGUUACAAAGUAAGUAAUAUGAAGCUUCUACCUGUUAAGAGUGGAGUCCAUGGGCUGGGGAUGUG